AGCUACAUACUAGUGGUUUGUUUGCUGUUAGCAUGUAUAUCGGCUGUGUCCUAAACUGUAGGUUGCUGUCUUUCUGCCUAGACAGUAAAUGGCAACAGUUGAAGGUACAAAUUAAAGAAACUAAAGCUUAAACAAACUCAAGUGGGCUUUAAAGACAUGUUUGAAUUCUCUCAACCGCCAACUCACACACACAGGAUUAUGGGAUAUCGUAAUCAGGGAAGGAUACAUUGAUGCUGCCUUCAGUAAUCAACCAAACAGAUGUUACACAAACAUUGGAUUUUUUUCUUCCUGACAUAGAUGUGUAACUGGAGCCACUUUUGGUCCAGAUUAAGCAUGACCAGGUGCAGAGGAAAGUCUUCUUGCUUCCUCUCAGCUGAUUAGUGGAGCCGGUUGAUUGGUGCAAAUGAGGAAGCUUUUAUCCUGCUCGAGUAUAAUCUGCUUGCAUCUUUAUUGGCUAAAAGCAGGCGUGAUGCUGGCAUGACCCAGGCUGGCCCAGGUACUGUCCUCAGAAAGGGUACUGACACUAAUGUCUUCUGACACACACAUCCCCCAUGCCCUUCCUGUUAAAGGUACACACACAGAUACGCUGCGGGAAAAAAUCUCCAAAGCUUAUGCAUGCACUUUUCAAUUACACUACUUUUGUGAAAAAUAUUUUUUAUAAUAUACACCAUAUUAAAAUGCACAUUCUCAGUGAAGACGAGCGGGAACGAUCAGCGCUUUGUAGCUGUCGGCUUUGGUGUAAUGGCUGCCUGUUUCCUUCUCAUCUUCUUUUGUCCUUAAAGGACGCUGCCUUGCCUAGCUGCACAGAUCCUUGGAGCAUCUUUCCUAUCUGUCUGUCCCUCUCUGUGCUGCAACACAGCCUGUUAUUUCAAGGAAAGUGCAACCUUUGCCUUGGGCUUUAAUUAUGUUCAGUUUGCCAAGCCGAGCCUGAAAAAUUCAGAGGGUAAAAAAGCUCUAUGACCUAUUUAUUAAUGCUGCGUUGGGUCUAAAGCUACACUGAGAUCAGCACUGCAUCACUCAACAAUAACAUCCAUCUCUGGAGAACAGACUUCAAUCACGUUGUACUCCUCUCUAACAGCUGGAAUUCAUUACUUUAUAAUAGAUC